rnacentral:lncRNA from 7 species
AAAUGUCUGAGUUCUCACCCAGUUACUUAGAGGAACCUAGAGGUUGUGAGAGCUUAGAUCUGUACAGUUACUCUGUGCGUGUCCCAGCUCCCUGAUGGGACUGAGAUGUCUGAAGUGGUUUCAGCUCGGUGGAAAUGAAGCGUGAAAACAUGAAAAUGAAAAACAAAAAGUGAAGCUCUUCUACAUCUGUGAAUGGUUACCUUGCAUGGUCCCCAGAGGAACUGCAAUCAAGCAGUUAUGGUGUGAAAGGUGAGGUACAUGAAAAUAGCAUACUGCGUUAGAAUAUGCCUCUGGACCAAAUUCUGAGAUGCACUGCCUGGAUCACCUCAUGGGAACUCAGGCUGUGAUCCCGUACCAUGUCAAAAGGAAGGAGAAAAGCAUGACAGAUCACCUAAGCAAAGCACAGAGGAAAAGUUUUUAGCAAAAUGAAAACUCCUUUGGAUAUUGGCAAAUGCAGUUUAAAAAGCAUGAAGAAGAAAUACUACGCUUACAGCAGGACUUCACGAUAUAAUCCCAUGUGAGACACUCUGAUUUAAAUUAUUUAAUAGCUACCCUAUGUUGGACAUUUUAAUAGAAGUGCUAUAGUCUGGAUGUUGAGUAUGUUACCAUUUCUUCUCCUUUCUAUAUAAUCCAUUCAAUAUGAUAUAUGUUGGUUGUAAGUAUCUUAAUAUCUUUAUACCCAUGGAAAAACUUCCAUAAGGAUGAUUGAUCUAAAAACUGAUAACCAUUUCAGUCCAAAGACACAUUCAUUCCCUUCCCCCAUUAUAAAAGCCUUAAAUUAUCUUUCUUUACUAGUGUAACCGCAGUGACUCCCAUUGAAUUGGAGUAUCCUGUCUAAAAAGUAAUAAUUAAAUAGGAGAAAAAGGUGAACCCUUCUCACAUUGCACCCUAAAAAUGUCAAGAGAUAUUUCUGAACAGUUCAUAAUUGGUAUUCCACAUAUUUCCUAUGUCAAAAGUUUAUGACUAGCAUAAAGCUCUUCUGUAGUAGUUUUUUCCAGAACUUAAAUCACAGUUUUGAAGCAUAAUAGCAUAAAUACAAGAUCUGCUUUUUUACUAUUUGUUCUAUGCUUAUUUAUUAUAAGAUAAAUUAUGAGAAAAAUAAAUAAAAUGAUAUUCAC